rfam:Erinaceus europaeus unplaced genomic scaffold scaffold00463, whole genome shotgun sequence
CUUCUUUUUGGGGAUUGCCAAGAUUAGGUUCCUGCCAUACAGAGAAGAUUAGCAUGGCCCCUGAGCAAGGAUGACAUGCAAAUUUGUGAAGUGCUCCAAAUAUGU